rnacentral:rRNA from 1 species
UACGUAGGGUCCGAGCGUUAAUCGGAAUUACUGGGCGUAAAGCGUGCGCAGGCGGUUCGCAAAGACAGGUGUGAAAUCCCCGGGCUUAACCUGGGAACUGCGCUUGUAACUAGCGGGCUAGAGUGCGGCAGAGGGGGGUGGAAGUUCCACGUGUAGCAGUGAAAUGCGUAGAUAUAGUGGGAGAACACCGGAAUGGCGCAAGG